rnacentral:rRNA from 1 species
UGAGCAACCUGCCCUUGACUCUGGAAUAACAGUUGGAAACAGCUGCUAAUACCGGAUACGACCUCCGACGGCAUCAUCUGGAGGUGGAAAGCUCCGACGGUCAAGGAUGGGCUCGCGGCCUAUCAGCUUGUUGGUGAGGUAACGGCUCACCAAGGCUUCGACGGGUAGCCGGCCUGAGAGGGCGACCGGCCACACUGGGACUGAGACACGGCCCAGACUCCGUACGGGAGCA